AGAUUGCGAAAAAGCAUUAAAAAAAUUUGGGCUUAGAUAUACUCUUGGAUUUGCAAAUUACAGUUUUUUACACCAGUUUAUUGACCCAACACAGAGUUUUGAGGGAUUUAAAAAAAAUUUGGAGGAAGAUAGUUUGAUUGCCAAGGCUGCACUUAACUCCAAGGACUUUGGUAAAU